AUGCUUGCUUCGGCAGCACAUGUACUAAAAUUGGAAGGAUACAGAGAAGAUUAUCAUGGCCCCUGCAUCAGGAUGACAUGAAAAUUCAUGAAGCAUUCCAUAUUAAA